CAGCCGCCGCGGUAAUACAGAGGAUGCAAGCGUUAUCCGGAAUGAUCGGGCGUAAAGCGUCUGUAGGUGGCUUUUCAAGUCCGCCGUCAAAUCCCAGGGCUCAACCCUGGACAGGCGGUGGAAACUACCAAGCUGGAGUACGGUAGGGGCAGAGGGAAUUUCCAGUGGAGCGGUGAAAUGCGUUGAGAUCGAAAAGAACACCAACAGCGAAAGCACUCUGCUGGGACGACACUGACACUAAGAGACGAAAGCUAGGGGAGCAAAUGGGAUUAGAGACCCCUGUAGUCCCUGUCUCUUAUAC
rnacentral:rRNA from 1 species